UCCUAUCCAAUUAAAAAUGACAUUUUCGGGUGAUUCUAGCAAUUUAGGUGCAAACUUUCUUUUAUUUCACAACCUGUUUGGAAGACAGAUCACUGAAAACCAUAGAUGGCUUCGUUCCUCAGAUACUCUCAUACAUACUAAUAGUUAAUAGGUCAUUCAAGGAUCUAUCACUGCCUGGUCUUGAAGAGACUUAAGCCAUUGCUUCAUCCAGCCUCACAUCACUACCAUUGCUAUUUAAUUCAUACUGACAAUUGAUGACC
rnacentral:lncRNA from 10 species